AGUGGCGAACGGGUGAGUAAUGCAUCGGAACGUACCGUGUAGUGGGGGAUAACGUAACGAAAGUUACCCUAAUAACCCAUACCCCCUGAGGGGGAAAGUGGGGGACCGCAAGGCCUCACGCUAUAUGAGCGGCCGAUGUCGGAUUAGCCAGUUGGUAGGGUAAAGGCCUACCAAGGCGACGAUCCGUAGCGGGUCUGAGAGGGAGAUCCCCCCACACUGGGACUGAGACACGGCCCAGACUCCUACGGGAGGCAGCAGUGGGGGAAUUUUGGACAAUGGGCGCAAGCCUGAUCCAGCCAUGCCGCGUGAGUGAAGAAGGCCUUCGGGUUGUAAAGCUCUUUCAGACGGAAAGAAAUCUCUCGGGAUAACACCCUGGGGAGGAUGACGAUACCGUAAGAAGAAGCACCGGCUAACUACGUGCCAGCAGCCGCGGUAAUACGUAGGGUGCGAGCGUUAAUCGGAAUUACUGGGCGUAAAGCGUGCGCAGGCGGUGAUGUAAGACAGAUGUGAAAUCCCCGGGCUCAACCUGGGAACUGCGUUUGUGACUGCAUCACUCGAGUACGCAGAAGAGAGGUGGAAUUCCGCGUGUAGCAGUGAAAUGCGUAGAUUAUGCGGAGAACACGAAUGGCGAAGCAGCCUCCUGGGCCAGUACUGACGCUCAUGCACGAAAGCGUGGG
rnacentral:rRNA from 1 species